rnacentral:rRNA from 1 species
UACGUAGGGGGCUAGCGUUGUCCGGAUUUAUUGGGCGUAAAGAGCGUGUAGGCGGCCAGGUAGGUCUGCUGUGAAAACUCGAGGCUCAACCUCGAGACGUCGGCGGAAACCAUCUGGCUAGAGUCCGGAAGAGGAGAGUGGAAUUCCUGGUGUAGCGGUGAAAUGCGUAGAGAUCGGAAGGAACACCAGUGGCGAAGGCGGCUACCUGGACAAAUACUGACGCUGAGGCGCGAAAGCGUGGGGAGCAAACAGG